rnacentral:rRNA from 1 species
GUAGUAGCAAAUACUCUAGCGAGACCCUGGAGGGCUGAUGUGGAGAAGGGUUUCGUGUGAACAGCCGUUGCACACGAGUCAGUCGGUCCUAAGCCCUAGGGGAAACCAGAUGUAUGCGAGCCGCCGGCCGCGUCGGGCGAAAGGGAAUCCGGUCCCUAUUCCGGAACCCGGUCGCGGAACCGUUUCACGUCGGGCCCAGCGUCGAAAGGCGCAAGCUCGUCGGGGUAACCCAACAUGACCCGGAGAAGCCGUCGGGAGGUCUGGGAAGAGUUUUCUUUUCUGUUUGAGCGUUCGGGUUCCCUGGAAUUGCCUAGCGCAGAGAGAGGGAAUGGAGCGCGUAGAGCACCGCAGUUGCGGCGGUGUCCAGACAUGCCCUUCGGACCUUGAAAAUCCGGGGACGGGCCACGUGGAGGUGUCGCGCCGGUUCGUACCCAUAUCCGCAGCAGGUCUCCAAGGUGAAGAGCCUCUAGUCAAUAGAAUAAUGUAGGUAAGGGAAGUCGGCAACUUGGAUCCGUAACUUCGGGAUAAGGAU